rfam:Clostridium oryzae strain DSM 28571 CLORY_contig000023, whole genome shotgun sequence.
UGGGUGGCAUCGUAAGAGCUGCACCAUUUUAUUUUGUGUCAAUUUUUAAUACUGCUCAUAUCUUUACGAAUGAGACAUAUUU